GACCCUGUAAGUGGCUGCGGCGGGAAGAUGGCGGAGCUGCGCGUGCUCGUAGCUGUCAAGAGGGUCAUCGACUACGCCGUGAAGGUGAUCGGGCCCCCCUCUCCCACAUCCCUGAGUCCCGCAGCCGUGUGCUUCCGGGGCCACGAGCGCACACUGGGUGGGGGUCUUCUCGUAACCCCCGACCUCUGCCGCUUUAACCCCCAAACGUCAAAGUCACCUGAGGGCAAAAAUCCAAGAGUGAAGUUCUAACAUCCGAUCCCUCCGGGGUCACGGCCAUGUUCUCUUUUCCCUCGUUCUGGAUUCACUCUCUUGAUAACUGUUCAGAGUGAGUUGCUUUCUCUAUUUCUUACCCACUGGAAGAAGUCACGGUCCCUGUUUAAUGCACGGAGAAACUGAGGCACAGAGAGGUCACCCAGCUAGAGAAGGGCAGAGCCGAGAGUUCUAUCCAGGUUCCUCUGACUGCUUUCACCCACUAGGCUGCAUUACUUACCAUUGUACUCUUAUAUUACCCGAAAUGUGCUAUAGAGGGAGUCAGACAGGGUCCUGUGGGGCCCCAGAAGCUGCUUUCCACCCUCCAUAGCCACAGGGUGAGCCAGGAGGCUCUAGCUAGGGAGAGAGAAGUGUGUUUGCUAGAGAUGAAAGUUCAAGGAGCCAACCUGACUGAGCUGGGGGUAGCUCACAUUCUCCAUGAAAGAGGUGGGGGAGGGUGCUCUCAGCGCCUGGCUUGUUGUCCCCAGAGGGAAGCUGGUGUGGACAGAGGUGAAUCAGACACGGUCUCUCAGGCCCGUUUCUCUCAAUGCUUGGCCUGAACUGGACUGAAGAUGGUGACUGUCUGUCCAUGUCUGUCCUUCCCAUCAGCCUGGGGACUUACCUCCGUGUCCCCAGCAUUACCUAGCGCAGGGCCUGGCACCCUGGAGGCCUCAGGGUGGGCAAAACCAGGGUCACAAAGUUGACACUGAUACUGCCCCUGCCUGCUUAGGGAGUGGGCUGGGGAAGAGGGUACAGGAGCCAGACUUGAGCAUGAAAGUGUCAGUGAUGAUAGCAGCCAGCAUUUAGCGGGUACUUACGUGGCAGGCAUCGUUCCAAGUCCUUUGCAGAGAUUAACCCAUUCAGUCCUUUCAGUACCCUUUGUAUUAUUUAUUAUUUAUUUUUAUUUUUUGAGACGGAGUUUUGCUCUUUUUGCCCAGGCUGGAGUGCAAUGGCGGAGGUUGCAGUGAACCGAGAUCGUGCCACUGCACUCCAGCCUGGGUGACAGAGGGAGACUCCGUCUCACAAAAAAAAA
rnacentral:lncRNA from 1 species